GUUGCAGCGUCAAGCGAUCCGUUCAUACCGAUGUACAAGCAGUCCUAUCUCUUCUACACGCCGACGGCGAUGGCAGCGCUCGUCAUCGUGGGAAUGUUCAUCAGCCUCAUCACUGGGUUGCGACGCCCGGACAGUAUUGGCCCUCGCCUGAUCUGCCCUCUGUUUGACCGCCUCUUCCCCUGUAUG
rnacentral:lncRNA from 1 species